AAUGAGAUCGGAAAAAGUUAUUGUUUUUAUUUUAUUUUUAUAAUAAUUACGUUUAUUUUGCACAAAAUGGGUACGCAGAAACCUGGGGAAUGGGCUAAUUCCCUCAUAGCCCGCUUCGAGGAGCAGUUGCCGUACAAGACAGGUGCGCACAACCUGCACUCGCGUAUCAACGAGGAGCAGUCGAAGGCGUGUCUGGUGCAGAUCAGCCGGCACCGCUUCUCGCUGGUCAUCGCGGGACUCACCAAGAUCCUGCAGAGGGUCAACGAGUUGUACCAACCAACAAUAUCAUCAGGCGUGAACCGGCUCCAGACAGAGCUGGAGAAAGGAUACCACGACAGCCUGGUGAUAGUCCUCGACACGCUGGAGAUAUGUCUCAGCUCGCAGCCCAAAGACACGACCAAGUACGACGAGGCUAUGAACGUCAAGAUCCUCCUGCGUGAGGUCUGCCAAUUCAUUGACAUGCGCGGUGAGACCAGCGCCAGCAACACGCUCCUGCGCCAGCUCGCCAGCAAGGUCCUAUUCGCACUCAGCCUCAACUUCUUCAAUGCUGUGUUCAACAGGAUUAGCGCUAGGUUACAGGAAUUAUCGUCAAGUUCAGAAGAAAACCCCGAUUACACAGACAUAGAGCUGAUUCAACACGUGAAUGUGGAUAUUUUGAGGCUUAUACGGCUACUUACAGAAUCUAUACAAAAGUUUAAGUUAUUAAGGAAGUCAGCGCACAUAGUUCUAGUUUCGUCUUUAGAAAAAGCAAUUUGGAAUUGGAUGGAUACUUAUCCACAAGAAUUCGCAGAAGUCCAAUGCCGGCCUAAUGAGGAUUUAAGCAAAUGUUGCGACACGUUAUUCGAUAUACUACAAGACUCGUUCUCAGAUAACAAGAAGUCGCGGCUAGCUGUGUGGCCGCUGCAAAUAAUGCUGCUACUGUUAAACCCGAAAGUUCUAGAAGAAAUAGUGAAUGCGGAUAGUGGCGCUCCCUGUAGUCCUCGACACACGAAGAAGAAGCAUUUCAUUGAUUCUGUCAAGAGGGGGUUGAGUCCCCAAAACAACUCGAAGCAAAUGACAGAGGCAGCGGUGGUAACCUGUGUGAAGCUCUGUAAGGCCUCCACUUACCUGAACAUCGCGGAUUCGGGCAAUGUCACUUUCAUACUAGUCAAGUCUGUUAUUAAUGAUCUCAAGUCUCUCCUAUUCAACCCAUCGAAGUCCUACAUCCGGGGAAACCUGACGUCAGGCUACUCGGAGCUGGACCUGAUGACCGACUGUUUCGUGUCCCUCUUCAGGAUAAUGCCUCACAACAACGACGCGUUGAAAGUCUGCCUGAACCUCAACACACAUAUCUCCUACCACUAUGUCAUUGUCAAUUCGCUGUUGAGGAUAAUCAAACAACCCAGGUUGCCAUGGUGGCCCCAGAUUGAGCUGCUGUACCCUCGGGCAGCUGAACUAAGAGCCAUGUUCACUGACACGCUCAAUAAAGCCACGCAGGGUUUCAUAGUCCACACGCCUCUCCGCAUGAUCUCCCUCUCACUGAAGUCCAAGGAAGUCCAGUCCAAGCUGAACAAGUCGGAGGAGAUGCCGGCCUACAGGAACCUGCUGCUGUGUAUGGUGAAACUGAUCCACGCUGACCCCAUGCUGAUGCUCAGUAACCCAGGCCGCUCAGGCGUGGAGAUCCAAUCCUCAACCACAGAGCUGAUCAACGGGCUGGUGUCGCUCAUCCACCAGACGGGCAUGGGCGAGAUAUCCCAGGCUGCUAUGGAUGCCCUGCUCGCUCUGCAUCGCCCUGAUAGGGUCUACAUGUGGAACCCUGAGGCGCCGCUGAACACCUUUUGGGAUAUCAGCUCCCAGAUCCUGUACAACAUAAGUCAGAAGCUUAUCCAGCGCCAGAUCUGCAAUUACCGGGAAGUGCUGCGCUGGUUGCGAGACAUCCUCACUUGCAGGAAUGAGUUCCUCAACAAACACAAGGAGUACGCAAACGUGGGCUCACAGAUACCCAUCUGCAAGCAGGCGCAUAUCAAGCUGGAGGUGGUAUUCUUCAUGUGUCUGUGGUCUAUCGACACGGACGUGGUGUUGGUGGCAAUGUCUUGCUUCGCGCUGCUCUGCCAGGAGGCGGACAUCCGCUGCGGCAGUGACGAAAUAACUACACACUGCCUGCUGCCAAACUACAUCGUCUUCCAGGAGAUAGCGCAUACUUCUACUGUCUUGACUACUGCAGCGAGUCAGGACAUGGGCAGGGGUUGUUAUUACAAAAAUAUUCAAAGUUCAGCGGCGCUUCAGAAGCGCAUAAUGGCACUGUUGAGGAAGAUCGAGCACUGUGUCAAUGGCGUCCAACCUGUUUGGGAGGAGACCUUCAGAUGCUGGGACUCCCUGUGCAAACUCCUGCAGAAGUUCCCGAAAGGCCAGGGGGACAAGAUGGAUGAUCAGAUGGAAGCCUUACAUCGAGCCGUGGCCAAGAGACGGGUGUCUCACCAUACCAGUAGUGAACAUGAUUUUGAGAUGCAGAUCCAAGAGUGGGCCAACAUCACAUCAUUCCUGUGCGCGCUGGGUGGCGUGUGCCUCCAACGACGGCCCGCCACCGUCUGGUCACACUUACACCAUGAUUCCAGGAAAUACAACGUCUUAGCCAACAGCUCACAAGAAGUGCAAUACUGUCCAGUUACCCAGUUCAUAGGGCAGCUCCUACGGUUGCUCCUCUGCAGCAACGAGCGCUUCGGCCAGCAGAUCCAGACCCACGUGAAGGAGCUGGUCGGCCACGAGAUGUCCCCCGCGCUGUACCCUAUACUCUUCGACCAGAUAAAAGCCAUUAUUGACAAGUUCUUCGAUCAACAGCAACAGGUUAUGCUAACAGAUAUUAACACCCAGUUUGUAGAGCACACUAUUAUCAUAAUGAAGAAGAUUCUGGACAACAAGAAGAGUGGUCAGCCGAAUGAACAUCUCAGCACUACGUCUAUUGAGGGGCUCAUGCUUGCUAUAGUUAGAUACGUCCGGCAUCUAGACAUGACAGUGUUAUCUGUGCAUAUAAAGACCAAGUUGUGCCAGGUAGUAGAGGCCAUGAUGAGACGGCGGGAUGAUUUGGCUUUUAGACAGGAGAUGAAGUUCCGUAACAAAAUGGUGGAGUAUGUGACGGAUUGGGUGCUUGGGACAAGCCACCAGAUCGCGCCGCCACUUAGAGCUGAUGCCCCUUCAAUCACCAGAUAUUUAGUGUGCUGUCGAGACCUGGACCAGGCUUGUAUGGAGGCGGUGGCUGCCCUGCUGAAGGGUCUACCGCUGCAGCCUGAGGAGUCUGAUCGAGGGGACCUUAUGGAAGCCAAGAGUCAGCUGUUCCUCAAAUACUUCACGUUAUUCAUGAACCUGCUUAACGACUGCAACGAAGUGGAGCUGGCUGAGGGGCCAGGCAAGCUGGAGGACCUGCGCAAUGCCACCAUACAAGCCAUGUCCAACCUGCUCAGCGCCAAUAUCGAUUCUGGGUUGAUGCAUAGCAUUGAUUUGGGUUACCAUCGCGACCUGCAGACCAGAGCAGCGUUCAUGGAGGUGCUCACCAAGAUCCUGCAACAGGGGACGGAGUUCGAUACCCUGGCGGAGACUGUUCUGGCUGACCGCUUCGAGCAAUUGGUACAGCUGGUUACCAUGAUCUCUGAUAAGGGCGAGCUGCCAAUAGCGAUGGCUCUAGCCAAUGUGGUCAGUACGUCGCAGAUGGACGAGCUGGCUCGAGUGUUCGUCACGCUGUUUGAUGCCAAACACCUCCUCGCGCCGUUGCUGUGGAACAUCUUCUAUAGGGAGGUUGAGGUAUCAGACUGCAUGCAGACUCUGUUCAGAGGCAACUCGCUCGGCAGCAAGAUAAUGGCAUAUUGCUUCAAGAUCUACGGGCAGUCGUACCUGCAACAGCUGCUGCAGCCGCUGGUGUCGACGCUGCUGGACCAGGUGGCCGACCAGCCCGACCUUAGCUUCGAGGUCGACCCGGCCAGACUGGACCCGAACCAAGACAUAGAGGUGAACAGGUCCAACCUCAUCGACUUGACCAAAGAGGUGUUCGACAGGAUCGUCAACUCGGCGGAUAAAUUCCCCUCGCAGCUGCGAAGCAUGUGCCAUUGUCUUUAUCAGGUGCUAAGCAAGAGGUUCGCUCAGUUUCCCCAAACGAGUGUCGGUGCGGUGGGCACGGUCCUGUUCCUACGGUUUAUCAACCCGGCUAUAGUAUCUCCGCAAGAGAUGGGCAUAGUGGACCGCGCGGUGCCGACGAGCGUGAAGCGCGGGCUGAUGCUUAUGUCCAAGAUCCUGCAGAAUAUCGCCAACCACGUCGAGUUCUCCAAGGAGCAGCACAUGCUUCCCUUCAACCACUUCCUCAGGUCGCACUUCGAGGCUGGACGCAAAUUCUUCAUCCAAAUAGCGUCGGACUGCGAGAGUAUGGAGCAGCAGUCCCACAACUUGUCGUUCAUCACGGACGUGUACGUGGUGGCGCUGCACCGUCUGCUGUGGAACCACCAGGAGAGGAUCGGGGACUACCUGUCCUGCAGCAGGGACCACAAGGCCGUGGGACGCCGCCCCUUCGACAAGAUGGCAACACUCCUCGCGUACUUGGGACCGCCAGAACAUAAACCUGUGGAAUCAACAUCAAGUCUCCUCUUCUCGUCGUACGCGCGCUGGUCCUCCAUCGACAUGUCCUCCAGCAACUUCGAGGAGUUCAUAGUGAAGCACAACAUGCACGAGAAGGAUGAGUUCAAGAGCAUCAAGAGUCUGAACAUCUUCUACCAGGCCGGCACCAGCAAGCUGGCCAACCCCGUCUUCUACUUCAUAUCCAGGAGGUACAAAAUCGGCGAAGUGAACGCGGAUCUGCUGAUAUACCACGUGAUCCUGACGCUGAAGCCGUUCUGCCAGCAGCCCUUCGAGCUCAUCGUCGACUUCACGCACACCAACUCCGACAACAGAUUCAGGACGGACUUCCUGCAGAAGUGGUUCACGGUGCUCCCGGAGGUUGCGUACAUCAACAUCCACGCGUGCUACAUUUACAACUGCAACAGCUGGGUGCGAGAGUACACCAAAUUCCACGAGGCAAUACUGGCGCCUUUGAGGGGCAACAGGAAGCUGGUCUUCAUAGACAACCACAGCCGGCUGAGCGAGUAUGUGGAGCCAGAGCAGCAGAAGCUGCCAGGGGCAACGCUCGCCCUGGAGGAAGACCUCAAGGUCUUCAACAACGCGCUCAAACUCUCCCACAAAGACACCAAGGUUGCUAUCAAGGUGGGUCCCACAGCUCUUCAAAUAACAUCAGUGGAGAAAACGAAAGUGCUCGGCCUGCCUGUUCUACUCAACGAUGUAUACUACGCAUCUGAAAUUGAUGAGGUAUGCCUGGUUGACGACAACCAGUUCUCCCUGUCGAUUAUCAACGAGGGCACCCCGCUGAGCUUCAUCCACAACGACUGCGACAACAUCGUGCAGUCCAUCAUUCAUAUACGGAACCGGUGGGAGCUCAGCCAGCCGGAUUCAGUGACAGUCCACCAGAAGAUCCGACCGAAGGACGUGCCAGGCACCUUACUCAACAUGGCUCUUCUGAACCUGGGUUCUUGUGACCCUAAUCUGCGGACGGCCGCGUACAACCAGCUGUGCGCACUGACUGCCACCUUCCAUCUCAAGAUCGAGGGUCAACUACUGGAGACAUCAGGACUCUGCAUCCCCUCCAACAACACAAUCUUCAUCAAGUCUGUCAGUGAGAAGCUGGCCCACAACGAACCGCAUCUUACACUCGAAUUCUUAGAGGAGUGUAUACAGGUAUGUAUAGGCUUCAGAGGGUCAACUAUAGAACUGAAGCAUUUGUGUCUGGAGUACAUGACUCCUUGGCUGGCCAAUCUAGUCAGAUUCUGCAAGCCUUCAGAUGAAUCCCGCCGCCAGAAGCAAGUGGCGACAAUCUUGGAGAAGCUGAUCACGCUCACGAUUGAGGAGACGGAGAUGUACCCUUCGGUGCAGGCCAAGAUCUGGGGCUCCAUCGGACAGGUGCCCGAGCUCAUAGACAUGGUGCUCGACAGCUUCAUGCUUAGGAGCGUCUCUUCAGGCUUGGGCUCCCCGAUGGUUGAAAUAAUGGCGGACACGGCAGUCGCGUUGGCCUCGGCUAACGUGCAGCUGGUGUCCAAAAAAGUCAUCGGUCGAAUGUGUAGGGCCCUAUCCAAACUGCCCAAUAAUAUCCUGGGUCCUGUCACCCCGGCCACUGUGGUUGACAAGACAUGCCACUCGCCGACAGCGAUGUUGGAGCAACACAUGAUGUGGGAUGACAUCGCAAUACUCGCCAGAUAUCUGCUGAUGCUCUCGUUCAACAACUGCCUGGACGUGGCACGCCAUCUGCCCUACUUGUUCCACACGGUCACCUUCCUGGUGUGUUCGGGCACCGUCUCCAUGCGCGCAGCCACACACGGCCUGGUCGUCAACAUCAUCCAUUCGCUCUGCACUUGUACCACGCCCAGCUUCUCUGAGGAGACUCAGCGCGUGCUGAUGCUGUCUCUGGAUGAGUUCGCGCUGCCCAAGUUCUAUGAGAUGUUCGGCAUCUCCAAGGUGAAGUCGGCCGCCGUCACCGCCUUCCGCAGUGCCUACAACAGGCAUACCAAUGACUGCAGGUACACGGAGCCCGGGUACGCGGCGGCGGCCUCCUCCGUGGACUCGUCAUCCAUGUCGGGGCCCGCGCUGACGCCGGCGCCCACGCACACCGACCGCGAGCGUCUGCCGCUGCAGUCCUUGGAGACGAUCACCGACGCACUACUGGAGAUCAUGGAGGCUUGUAUGAGGGAUAUACCUCACUGCGAUUGGCUGCUCACUUGGACGAACUUGGCCAAGAGUUUCGCGUUCUGCUUCAACCCUGCCCUGCAGCCGAGAGCCCUCAUCGUGUUUGGAUGCAUAAGUAAGAACGUGACAGAUGACGAUAUGAAGCAACUGCUUCGAAUCCUGGUGAAGGCGUUGGAGUCGUUCAAUGACCUCGCGCUUCUUGAAGCGCUCAUCAUGUGCCUGACCAGGCUGCAACCGCUUUUGCAUCAUGAAUCCCCGAUCCACAAGGCGUUGUUCUGGGUGGCGCUGUCAGUACUACAGUUGGAUGAGCCCACGCUGUACGCGGCGGGGCUGGCUUUGAUGGAACAGAACCUGCAUACCUUGGAUUCACAGGGACAGUUUGAUGACAAGACUAUGGAACAAGUGAUGAUGGAGACAAGAGAACCUCUGGAGUGGCACUUCAAGCAGUUAGACCACGCUGUUGGAUUAAGUUUCCGUUCAAACUUCCAUUUCGCGCUGGUCGGGCACCUCAUCAAAGGCUACCGUCACCCGCUGGCGGCGACAGUAUCACGCACGUGCCGAGUGCUAGUCGCCCUGCUGGCGAUCACGGCGCGUGUACACCGCGACAAGUUCCAAGUCACCCCUGACACCGUCGCAUAUCUCACCGCGCUGGUGUGCGUGAGUGAGGAGGUGCGGUCUCGCUGCCAUGUCAAGCACUCGCUGCCCAGCUGGGCGCCAGCCACCUGCGACCACUGCUGUGCUGCUACUGAUCAUCAUCAGUCGUCGCUGGUGCUGGGCGGCGCCGCGGGCGCAGGGCGGCGACAGAAGUCAUGGGACGUGCUCGACCAGGCCGCCAUCUCCUCCGCGCAUGGAGGCAAAUCUCCAACGCUCCAACAGUCCGGCAGUGGCGCUCACAGCCCACACUUGGCCGCUGUACCACACCAGGACAGUGAAGGCCGAGCUCACAGCAUGCAGCACGGCCCAGUAGGAGACGCGGCGAGGGAGCAAAAUGUGGACACUGACAGCGGGCUAGAUGUGGUGGAAGACGACGGGCGUGGCUCUCCGGGCAGCACUGACGAGACUACUGAGCGGCCAUCGUCUACCAAGUCUGACGGCGACAGCGACUAUCCUGAGACAUCCACAAAGCAAGCGUCGACAGAUAAAGACACGACGAGUCCAGAAAGCAACAGCCUGCUCGACCCAUCAGUGGUGUCUGACUUCACGACGCAGGCGCUGGUACUAACCGUCCUUGCGACUCUGGUCAAAUAUACUACAGAUGAAGAUGAGAUCCGAGUGCUGUACCAAUACCUCGCCGAGGGGUCCGUGGUUUUCCCCAAGGUGUUCCCAGUCAUUCACAGCCUGUUGGACAUGAAGAUCAACCAUGUGCUGAUGCAUUGUCACGACCAGGUCAUACUCAGUGCUGUCCAGAGCAUCAUACAGAACAUGAUAGCGUCAGAGGACGCGAGUCAGCAGCAACUGCACUACAUGCAGAGCUGCGGCUUCGGAGGCCUGUGGCGCUUCGCCGGACCCUUCACUAAGAACCAAUGCACGGCAGAGAGCAGCGAACUAUUCGUGAACUGCCUUGAAGCCAUGGUGGAGACCUGUCUACCGGGAGACGAGGCGCCGCGCCGCCCUCCACCCGACCCGGACCAUCCCGAUCUCGAUACUAGAUGCCCUGGUGUACACCGACAACCCACCCUUUACUGUUCCGGGUCGGACACUCUGUCUACUUAACACAGCUUGUUUCAAUACCACAGGGGGUGCCUGCAUUGCGUAUCGUUGUGAACCAACCUUUACUGAUUAUUCUGAUAAACGAUUAUUUUAUUCUGAAAGUGCCCGCCAAUGAAAAAUAAUCCUGAUUAGACUGUAUCAGGCUGGUUCUCCCUUCGCGGGUUGGAAAGUCAGACAGGCAGUCGCUUCUGUAAAAAACCGGACCUGUCAAAUCUUCAGGUUAGUUAAGCGGACCUUGUGAAAAACCGAGGUGAUAGUGGGAUGAUGGUUUUUUGCCUGUCUUACCUUCCAACCCGAAGUGUAUUACUAUUAUUGUUAUUGCGUGUGUGUGUGGCCAGCGCUUUUAGAAAAGGCCGAAAAGAUGUAUGGAGAAAGUAAGACAGAGAGAGAGAAAGGAAAAAAAAUGAUCUCCUAUUUCGUGUUUAGGAUCCUAUUAUUACCAUGACAUGCUUUUGAGUUACGAUAUCGGAUUUCAAAUGCGAUAUCGUCAUUCAUUAUUAUAAAAUUAGCGAUGUAACUGUCAUUAGAAUUACAUAAAUUAGAGAUGGGCCGAGUACUCGUUUGAUACUCAGUACUCUGCGUACUCGGCGAGUUUUUUGAUACUCGUACUCGGCCGAAUAACUCGGUUAUUUGAUGACGAGUAACGAGUAUACAGCCAUUGGUAAAUAACAAACUUUUUCAAUUAUUUAUCUACUAUGACGCGCAACGUGACGUGUUUGUUUGCAAACAAUCAAGUGACUAGUAGUUGGAAGGCGUGGGCGGGGUGAGGGGUGUAUCAACGCGAGCCGACGUCUUGACCGGCGCAAACCUGUUUGUACUUGUUUACCCGCGCGAAAUGCGAAUUUGAUUGAACCCAUUAACGUCCCCACUGCUGGGGCACGGGCCUUCCCUAUGGAUGGAUUGGGAGAUCGGGCCUUAAACCAUCACGCGGGCCCAGUGCGGAUUGAUGGUUAUUAACGACUGCUAAUGCAGCCGGGACCAACGGCUUAACGUGCCUUCCGAAGCACGGAAGCUCGAGAUGAAAACUUUUUUUUUGUGGUCACCCAUCCUAUGACCGGCCUUUGCGAAAGUUGCUUAACUUCAACAAUCGCAGACCGAGCGCGUUUACCGCUGCGCCACCGAGCUCGGCCGAGUACUCGAUUGGAAAAAAAUUGAGCCGAGUAAAACUCGGUACUCGUUACUCGGCAAAAGUGUUACUUGGCGCAUCUCUGACAUAAAUAUUAAGAUUUCAAGUGAUAAUUGAGACAUUUUCACCCAUAUUCUAAGAUCGACUCGACUCUUCCACUCGACUCGGCCUCCGUGUUUUGGUAUUCUAAAUUGACAUUUGCCUCUUCGACUUGAGGACUACUCACUGGAGUCGAGCAUGUCGUACUGCCAACAUAAUAAUACGAAAAUAAUGACGUCAUGGGUAACUGGAAUCAACUCGAGUUAACAUUGAAGCAUCGUUUAAGAAUACCGAUUUUGUACUGAGUUCGAGGAAAGCCUUGAGCCUCAAAUGAGGACAGAGUUGAGAAACAUAAACAGCCUAUAUACGUCCCACUGCUGGGCACAGGCCUCCCCUCAAUCAACCGGAGAGGGUAUGGAGCAUACUCCACCACGCUGCUCCACUGAGGGUUGGUGGAGGUGUUUUUACGGCUAAUAGCCGGGACCAACCGCUUAACGUGCCCUCCGAAGCACGGAAUCAUCUUUUUCGGACAAUCAGGUGAUUCAAGCCUGAAAAGUCCUUACCAAAGGAUAGUCUCACAAAGUGAAUCGAACCCGGACCUCCAGAUCGUGAGCCUAACGCUCUAACCACUAGACCACGGAGGCUGUUGAGAAAGGUUCGAGUAAAUAUCUCAGAAUAGGAGUGUUAAUAUAAAGAAAUAGCAGAAAACCCCGGAAGCAAUAUUUAUACUAGAACAAUAUUUAUACUGGAAAUAUAGUGCCUAAGUAAUAGAUAUGAUAUACAGGGUGUAAGUGACGCCGUAACGAAAACUUGAGUAGGAAUGAUUCAGACUAUGAUUCCGAGUAAAUAUCAAGUGGAAUUUUCCGUCGCAAAAUAGAGUUAAAAUAAAUAAAAAAAAAACAAAAAAACUGCCUACUGCACACUGUGUGUGCACUGCCUGUUUUUUUAUGUUCCUUGUGCCUGUUUGUAGUGUACAAAUAAAUAAACAAUAAAUAAAAAGAUCAAGAAUUUUGCACUAGAAAAUAGUGUACGCAUAAUCGAUAAUGUACAAACAAAUAAAUAAAAAAAUCAAGAAUUAUGCGACGGAAAAUUCCAUUGCAUAUUAACAUUAAGAAAUAGAAAUAUGUAAAUAUGUAUAUUUUGGGUUGAAUCGGUUUGUCGUAAUAUAAAUCGGGAGCGAAAACUAAAAGCAGUGUUCCGUCAUUCACUCCAUUUUGGUAGAACUGUUUUAUUGGCGUUCGUUAAUAGCGCCAUCUGUUAGAUUUCUUGCUUACUAAGUUAAGUCAAAUAUCUUGACAUGACAAACGUACGAAGCGAACUAAUUGGUUCCUAAAAUAUGCACUAGAUGGCGCUUGUCCGUGACACUCAGAAUCAUGAACUGAAUCAUCCCCCUGAGGCCGUAUACAGAAAGAAAGCUGGAAACUUAUAAGCGCUUACCGGCGCUUGACAGCGCUGGUUCAUUCUACACAAAGGAAACAGGUUGUCGAGUUGUUUAUUAAUUUUAAAUGGCAGCGCCCAGCGCGUGUUGAAGCUUCUCUUCUUCUUUGCGAGUCGAUGGCGAUCGAAGCUAAAUUUUUGCUGACCAAUAAUGGCCACGCUUACGGCAUUGUCAGUGGCUUCGUACAGGUCUUUAAUAGUGCAGGUGUUAGGGCACAUAAACUGCCUAUAUACGUCCCACUGCUGGGCACAGGCCUCCCCUCAAUCAACCGGAGGGGGUAUGGAGCAUACUCCACCACGCUGCUCCACUGCGGGUUGGUGGAGGUGUUUUUACGGCUAAUAGCCGGGACCAACGGCUUAACGUGCCCUCCGAAGCACGGAAUCAUCUUACUUUUUCGGACAAUCAGGUGAUUCAAGCCUGAAAAGUCCUUACCAAACAAAGGACAGUCUCACAAAGUGAUUUCGACAAUGUCCCCAUCGGGAAUCCCUAACGCUCUAACCACUAGACCACGGAGGCUGGCGUUAGUUUUAGAUCUGUCUUUAUUUAGUAAUCAGAAUUUCAUAAUUUAUCUUGACACGACCCAAUUUGUGCAAUAUCGAAACCAGUGACGAUUUGACUAUAGGAUACAUAAUUAGGCAAUUGGGUAGUUUCCUGAAAUCGCGCAUCCUUACGAUAACCGUUAGGGCACUUAGGACAGCACAAAAGGUUGAAGCUUGUCGGAACUAUUCAGUGCUUAUCGGCGCGCGUUCAUAUAUUUUUCUACGCGGGUCACCAGCGCUGUCAAGCGCCGGUAAGCGCUUAUAAGUUUCCAGCUUUCUUUCUAUAUACGGCCUAAGUAUGAGUAAUCAGUAAGGUAUCACUAAAGCCCUGUAUGUUUCCGCGUAGUUUUGACCUAAAAAUUGUGAAAGAAAGGUUGACGGUCGCUCUAAGGGAGCUUCCUUACGGUGCGAUGUAAUAUGCUAGUCCAACUAGUCAAAUCAGUUACUUUUUACUAAACGUCAAAACACGAAAUUACUAUCGUCAUAAAAAACGUAAUAAAAUGUCGGACUUAUUAUUACGGUUUUCUUGAUUAAAAUACAUAAAUAAGUUAAAUAGAAAAAAAUAUAUAUGUUUUUCGUUAGUUUUAGAUCUGUCUUUAUUUAGUAAUCAGAAUUUCAUAAUUUAUCUUGACACGACCCAAUUUGUGCAAUAUCGAAACUAGUGACGAUUUGACUAUAGGAUACAUAAUCCGGUCGUGCCGUGAGGAAGGUCUCUUAGGUUACAUGAACCGGCUACUGGGGGGGGGUUAAAAGGCGACAUCGAAGCACUUCAUCCAAAAAAGCAAUAUUGCUUUUUGACAUUAGUUGGCAUUGCGCACUUGCUUUUACUAAAUGUCAAAUUGCAAUAUUGGUUUUUAGAUGAAUUGCUUCGAUUUGGCCUUUUUAACCCCCUGAAAGUAUAGACGCAUGCAUGAUAGAUCCUUGACAGAUGGUGAAGAUGCUAUAAUAUUUUAUUUUCAGACAAAACACGCACGAGUGCGAGUGAGAAAGAACGAUUCAAACGAUGGUAACUUUUUGCCUUAGCAAAGACGUUCCGAAGUGGUGAUAGAUUCUACAUUGAAUUGAAACUAAUAUAGCUUCAUAAAUGUUCUCUAAUGAUUCUACAUUGAAAUUAAUAUAGCUUCAUAAAUGUUCUCUAAUGAUUCUACAUUGAAAUGAACGUUGUUGAUACCUGUGGGGUUAAAAUCGCCACAUCGAAGCAAUUCAUCUAAAAAAAUCCAAAAAAAAUAAUAAAAAAGAUCUAAACAAAUUUUAAUGUCAAAUAGUAAUAAUGCUUUUUUAAAUGAAUUGCUUCGAUGUGGCCAUUUUAACUCUCCAGUUUAGCUUUUUUUUUGACGUGACUUAUUGUAGAUUUGCCGCAAAUGACAUUAACUAUCUCUCGACUGUGAGCGGACUGAGCGAGUCAGACUGAGCGUGUUGUACUAUGACGUCACACCGUACCCGGCGGCCUGCGUCGUACGAUUACAACUUGUUUUACUUAUAAAUAGGAAACUAAUUGGGUGAAUAUCAAAAUGUGCCAAGUUUGGUGGCGAACUUUCUUGUUAUUUUUUCGUGAAAAAUUGGGUAUCGACAUGGUAACUUAACACUAACUUAGGUAACUUGUUCCUCGUAGCUAGAACUAUCCUUUUUCAAUAAUAAUAUGAAAGUUCGCCACCAAACUUGGCACUAUAUUCACCCAAUUGACGUAUCGACGUAAUUCUUUCACUAGUAUUUUUUUUAUUUUUGACAGAAACUAUGGAAUGCUAAUAAUCAAAAUUAGUUAACAUUCUUCAUUAUCAAGAUAUAUCUGGACAGCGCCAUCUCUAUUUUUUUUUUGCGGAACGUAGUAUGUAAAGUCUUUAAUUAUCGCACUCGUGAGUCUCGGAAAAUAAAAAAAUAUAUAUAACUAUCUUCACCCUUUGUCUAGAUAUGAGUAAUGCAUAGUUUUAAAUGAAACGGCUAUAUGAAAUAUAUGAGUACAAAUUAAUUUAGAUCAAUUUACAAUAUUACCUGUCGAUGUUUUGUGUGUUGCUGUUGUAAAUUAAUAUUUGAAUGUCUUUUUUUAAUAAUGUUUAUUAUUAUUUUAUAAUAAUUAUUAUUACAAUGCCCCAUUAUUAAUAGGACUUAGAAUAAUAAAGGUUAUAUUUUCUGACACAGUUUAAAUCCAGUGUUGUCCAUUGCCAUUCGACGUGCGCACGCGGCGAAUGUCAUGGGCAUCUUUGCGCCGGUUGAGGUUGUUUGAGUAAGCAGGGAUUCCUGCUGCAAUUUUUUAUUUUAGUAUUUUUAUUUUUUUGACACAAAUACAAGUAUAUUGUUAAAAUCACAAAGUAUGAAUACACAACGGUGCUAAUUAAAAUUAUACAGGGUGACCCAGAGGUUCACGUUCAAAAUGAAAAAAUAGAUAGAGGGGCUCAUUCAGAAGCACCCCCAUGCAUAUUCAGCGAUUAUUUACGGUUUAGGAGAUACUAUUUAAACGUGAACCUCUGGGCGACUCUCUAUAGAGACUCACAGUAACACAUAUAAAACCAAACACGGAAUAACACAUAACUUACGAGUAUAGUAAUUCCUGUAGACACCAUCUAAUUUUAUUUUAAGUUAUACCUGUUAUUGAUAAUGUUUUUGUUGAUGUUUGUAUGUUUUGUUUGUGUGCAAUAAAGUAUAAUCUUUGACUUAUUUUCUUAUCCGCUACAUAUAUGUAUGGUGUUCCUAAAGUGUUCUUUUUGUACUCUGGUAUUGGUGCUAAUUCCUGUAAACACUAUCUAAUUUUAAGUUAUAUUUGUCAUUUUCUUAUCCGCCGAAAAGGAAAGGGACGUGUAAUCGACAAGCAUAAAACUUAUGGAACACACGUCAAUUUUAGGCAGGAAUCUAAAACAACCCUCUAAAAGUUUACAUCGGCCAAUAACCAGACAGGAUUAAUUUGACAGCACACGUCAAACGGGUUACAUACCAGCGACAUAGCUAUUUGAUUCGCGCGGGUUAUUCAUUCAUUCACUCAUUCAUUUUAAAAUUAACAGUUGUCAAUCAUCCGUCCCAUUUAAUUUGACAAAAUGACGGGUACUUACAACUUAAAAUAAAAUUAGGAAGUGUCUGCAGGGAUCGAGGUCAUUGUUUCAGUGUUAUUAAUUUUAAAUCCUACUGUGCGACAGAAAAGACUGUGCUAAAGAACAUAACUUUCCCAAAAGCCGUAUUCUAAGAUGUUAACUCGACUCUGCCUUCACUCAACUCGGCGUCGGAUGAACAUUUUGGUAUUGUUGACAUUUAGGCGAUUCUCCCACUGCCCCGCAUGAUGCAGCGUAGCGCGUGGAUGCGUGUUCUUCCGUUGCUUGUAAGUAUCUCCGUUUGUAUAGAAAACACGCACGGUCUAACACACAGAAAAUGCAUCCACGCGCGUUCAUGCGGAUCACGCGCAUACAAGCGGAGAAACAUGCACCGCGCGUAGGUGCGGGGUGAGACGCAAAGUAUGGCACACUGAAACCCGCAGUGCCACGCGUGAUUUAGGAACGGCUUUGAAUGAAAUGAGAGCCGCCGUGCGUUAUUCUACAAAACGCCCCUACGCGCGUGAGUGCGUAAAAAACCCGCACGAUGAUGCAGAUCUGCAUUCCCGCAGAUACGCGCGUAGGUGCGUCGACACAACACGCAGCAUGAUGCGGGGCAGUGUGAGAAUCGCCUUAAAGAAAGAAAGAAACAUUUACGUCCUCGACUUGAGGACUUUACUCACUGGAGUCGAGAAUAUCAUACUGCCAACAUAAUAACACGAAAAUAAAUACGUCAUGGGUCACUGCAGCAAACUCGAGAUAAGGUUGAGUGUAAGAAUAUCGAGUUUGAGCUAGUUCGAGGAAAACCUUAUCGAGGAAGGAUCGAAAAAAGGAGGAAUCGAGGAAAGUUGUAGAUUAACAUCUUAGAAUACGGAAAUUAUAUUAAUAACGUAUAAGUAGCUUUACGUAGAUUGUAAGUAUUUAAGUCACUAUUUCAAUAUUUUGUAAUGUCUAUUAGGAAUAUUUAUAGCAAGUAAGUAGAGAUGCGUUUUCAUCGACGAGACGGAACGGUUAGGUAUGGUAACUUUAAAAACCCGUUCUCACGGAGAUUUUAAGUUCAAUGUUUUAGUCGGAAAUCAAACUACUUAAUAAGAUUUUAUGAUCACUGUUUACUUUCUAUAACUUAAGAACUAGAUCUGACAAAAUUAAAAAAAAAAAAAAACAACGCAGUGAACACAAAGUAUGCAUAAGAGAAAAAAACAUGGCGGCGGAAAAGGUAGUAAACACAUAAGAAGAGAAAAGAAACAUGGCGGCGGAAAAGAGUAAGUAAUGCCAACCAAACAAACAUUCAAUCAAGAAGGCGGGCGGCUCUGACGUCCGCUGCAUGUUUGUAGGUGUGCUUCAUUAAAAAGUAAAGGUGCCAAAAACGUCUUAGUUUCGAAUCCCGGUCGGGACACGUCAAAAAAAAACCACUUUGUGAGACUGUCCCUAGUCUUCUAUCGUAUGGGUUGUGAGGUAGAUUACCAACCUCAGCAACCCUGGUGUCAGGGUUAUUAUUGAGCCGCCAAAGGCCCGUGACAUGGCUCACUUACAUCAGUAAGUAGUAACCGGGACCGAAAACAAAACAGAAAAUAAUUCACCACUAGAUAUCAACUCAGAAUCAUGGUCUGAACCAUCCCCCUCAGUAUUCGUUACGGUGUCACUGACACCCAUACCUACUUGUAUGGCUACCGUAUGUACUUGUACGGGGUGUAAGUGACAUCGUAACGAAUACUGAGAGGUAUGAUUCAGCUCAUUAUUGCGACGGUAAAUUUCACUUGAUAUUAACUCAGAAUCAUGGUCUGAAUCAUUCCCUUAGUAUUCGUUACGAUGUCACUUACACCAUGUAGUCAUAAGCAAUAUCAUGUACCCACUUUAGAACCCUGUCGCGCUAUUAUAUUUGACAUUUAAUGAGAGUUACGGUUUAAUUUGUCAAAAUAGCUAAUGUGCCAUGGUUUCAAAGUGUAUACAUAUUAGUACUCAUGACCGUACUAACGUAAGUACCUACCCAAUUCUACGGAAAUUUCGGGAAAUCAUACAUUAUCGUCUCUUCUUGUCGGUGAAACACGAAAGUCUCAAUUUUAUAGCAAUAAUUUGUGAUUGUGCGAUUUUUUCUAGUCAUACAAAUAAAUGAU